AGUCGAGGGGCAGCAUGACUGUAGCAAUACAGUUGAUGGCGACCGGCAAACGGGUGCGGAACACGUACAGAACCUUCCUUCGAGCGGGGAAUAGCCCAGAGAAAUUUGGAUUAAUACCCCAUAGUAUUACGGAGUGGCAUCACUUUGUAAUUAAAGAUUUAUCACUUGAAGAUGGCUGUGCGGCUGAUUAGGUAGUUGGUAAGGUAACGGCUUACCAAGCCUGCGAUCAGUAACUGGUGUGAGAGCACGACCAGUCACACGGGCACUGAGACACGGGCCCGACUCCUACGGGAGGCAGCAGUAAGGAAUAUUGGUCAAUGGACGAAAGUCUGAACCAGCUAUGCCGCGUGGAGGAUGAAGGCCCUCUGGGUUGUAAACUUCUUUUAUAUGGGACGAAAAAGGGUCUUUCUAGAUCAACUGACGGUACCAUGUGAAUAAGCACCGGCUAACUCCGUGCCAGCAGCCGCGGUAAUACGGAGGGUGCAAGCGUUAUCCGGAUUCACUGGGUUUAAAGGGUGCGUAGGUGGGUUGGUAAGUCAGUGGUGAAAUCUCCGAGCUUAACUUGGAAACUGCCAUUGAUACUAUCAGUCUUGAAUAUUGUGGAGGUUAGCGGAAUAUGUCAUGUAGCGGUGAAAUGCUUAGAUAUGACAUAGAACACCAAUUGCGAAGGCAG
rnacentral:rRNA from 1 species